rnacentral:rRNA from 1 species
AGGAAUAUUGGUCAAUGGGCGAGAGCCUGAACCAGCCAAGUAGCGUGAAGGAUGACUGCCCUAUGGGUUGUAAACUUCUUUUAUAAAGGAAUAAAGUCGGGUAUGGAUACCCGUUUGCAUGUACUUUAUGAAUAAGGAUCGGCUAACUCCGUGCCAGCAGCCGCGGUAAUACGGAGGAUCCGAGCGUUAUCCGGAUUUAUUGGGUUUAAAGGGAGCGUAGAUGGGUUGUUAAGUCAGUUGUGAAAGUUUGCGGCUCAACCGUAAAAUUGCAAUUGAUACUGGCAGUCUUGAGUACAGUUGAGGUAGGCGGAAUUCGUGGUGUAGCGGUGAAAUGCUUAGAUAUCACGAAGAACUCCGAUUGCGAAGGCAGCUUACUAACCUGUAACUGACAUUGAUGCUCGAAAGUGUGGGUAUCAAACAGGAUUAGAUACCCUGGUAGUCCACACGGUAAACGAUGAAUACUCGCUGUAGGCGAUAUACAGUCUGCGGGCCAAGCGAAAGGCAUUAAGUAUUCCACCUGGGGAGUACGCCGGCAACGGUGAAACUCAAAGGAAUUGACGGGGGCCCGCACAAGCGGAGGAACAUGUGGUUUAAUUCGAUGAUACGCGAGGAACCUUACCCGGGCUUAAAUUGCAACCGAAUAUGGCGGAAACGCCAUAGCUAACAAUAGCGGUUGUGAAGGUGCUGCAUGGUUGUCGUCAGCUCGUGCCGUGAGGUGUCGGCUUAAGUGCCAUAACGAGCGCAACCCUUGCCGAUAGUUACUAACAGGUUAUGCUGAGGACUCUGUCGGGACUGCCAUCGUAAGAUGUGAGGAAGGUGGGGAUGACGUCAAAUCAGCACGGCCCUUACGUCCGGGGCUACACACGUGUUACAAUGGGGGGUACAGAGGGCUGCUACCACGCAAGUGGAUGCCAAUCCCAAAAACCUCUCUCAGUUCGGAUUGAAGUCUGCAACCCGACUUCAUGAAGCUGGAUUCGCUAGUAAUCGCGCAUCAGCCACGGCGCGGUGAAUACGUUCCCG